CAGCUUCCUAGAUCCCUGCUUUCCUCCACAUGUCUCCUCUGCCAGACGAGCAUUCCAGUCUGAAAGACCUUCCUAUACACUGUGAAGAAAUUUGAGGAGGUAACCUAUAUGCCUAGCUGAGGUUAAUCCCAGAUGGAUGGAGCAGCCACUGUUGGAGACACUGCUUGCCACCAUGGUAGAAAGAAAUCAAAUUCCUGAGGGUCUUGGACUGACAAUUACUUGCUUCUGCCUGACAUUGACCUUGGAAGUGACAUCAUUUCUGCUCCGAUGUAUUGGCCAGAAUUAGUGUCAUGGUCCCACCAACCUCAAAAAUGCAAUCCUGCCAUGUGCCUGGAGGAGACCAACAGCUUAGAACUGGCCUGGGCCAUGAAGAUAUUUUCAACGACUCCAAGGAGAAGUCUUUACAGAGACCUCAAGCAUGUCUUCUCAGAAGUCAAGGUCUUCACGAUUGUCCCUGUUGAAUGUUAACUGAGAAGCGCCUUCUUUACAUGAAAAAUACAGAG